GUGGGUGAUCUGCCCUGCACUUCGGGAUAAGCUUGGGAAACUGGGUCUAAUACCGGAUAGGAGCCAUCUUUAGUGUGGUGGUGGAAAGUUUUUCGGUGUAGGAUGAGCUCGCGGCCUAUCAGCUUGUUGGUGGGGUAAUGGCCUACCAAGGCGGCGACGGGUAGCCGGCCUUAGAGGGUGUACGGCCACAUUGGGACUGAGAUACGGCCCAG
rnacentral:rRNA from 1 species